CGCGCACGCGCCGUAGGCCGAAGUGGGCGGGGCGGCCCGAGGAGCGCGCGCCAUGCAGGCCAGCGGGUACACGGCUGCCGCCCUCGGCCAGGCCCGCGCCCCCGUCCAAGUGUCUGUUAUCCUCCCGGUCCAUGACGCUGAACCGUGGCUGGACGAGUGCUUGGGGUCUGUUUUGCAGCAGGACUUCGAAGGCUCCAUGGAGCUUUCCAUUUUUAAUGAUGCCAGUAAGGACAAGUCUAUGACUAUCAUUGAAAAAUGGAAAGAGAAGCUGGAAGGUUCCGGCAUCCUUGUGGUCAUUGGAGGGCACGAUUCUCCUUCUCCCCGAGGAGUCGGAUAUUCUAAAAAUCAAGCCAUAGCACAGAGCUCAGGAUCUUACCUUUGCUUUUUGGAUUCGGACGACGUGAUGAUGCCUCAGAGGGUGAGGCUGCAACACGCAGCUGCUGUGCGACACCCAACAAGUAUCAUCGGUUGCCAAGUGAGGAGGGAGCCCCCCAACUCCACCGAGCGAUACACGCGGUGGAUCAACCAUCUGGCGCCCGACCAGCUACUCACCCAGGUGUUUACCUCCAAUGGCCCCACCGUGAUCAUGCCCACCUGGUUCUGCUCCCGAGCCUGGUUCUCCCACGUGGGCCCAUUUGACGAGGGCGGGCGGGUAAGUGCGUGUCCCGUGGAUUCCUCCUCUGGGCUGGGCGGGGCCGAGCUGGGCUGGGCGGGGCCGGGCGGGGCCGCCGUCCCCGGUCAGGGCCUUUGCAGCGUUUCCUGCUUCCGGGCCGGGCGUGCUGAGCCUCCCAGGGUGCAGCCGGGGCACCGCUCGGCCUGUGUUGUGCGGGAAGCAGGGGGUUUCUGUAUGAAGGCUGUGGGCGCCGGGCGUCUGCUCCUGGCUCACACCUGCCCGGCCCUGGUUGCCUCAUCCUGCUUUAAGAGCUGUUUGUGGGAAAGCGCAGGAGGUGGGCAGUGUCAUCCUGCCACCCCUGGACAACAGCGGCGGAAGAGCUCCCCAGUUCUCCUGUGGCCGGUGGCCCUGGGGUGUUCGGGUCCAAGCUGGCCUGGCUCCUUCGUCUGCACCCUCGCCUACCUGAGGGGCCUCACCUGCAGAGCGGGGCCCACGCUGGUCUCCGGGCUCCGGCCUAGAAAUGGGGACGCGACGCUGACCUGCUCCCCUCCCACCCCGACAGUCUUAAGAGUGAGCACUCCGACACCAAUCAGAAGGACCACCAUCUGGACCCACCGCGUCCGCUUCCUGGAAGAGUGGGCCCUGCCCCACUGGGCAACCUUCACCAUCUGGAAUGCGGGCCGGCAGGGCCGCCGGCUCUACCGCAGCCUGACGGCAGGGUCACGGUGCAAGGUGGUCGCCUUCUGCGAUGUGGACGAGAACAAGAUCAAGAAGGGCUUCUACUGCUACGAGGACUCUCAGGAAAGGCCCAAGCCCCGGAUCCCGGUCCUGCACUUCCGAGCCGCACAGCCACCCUUUGUCAUCUGCGUGAAGCUGGACCUCACAGGGGGCGCAUUUGAAGACAAUCUGAGGUCGCUGCACCUGCAGGAGGGCCGGGAUUUCCUUCACUUCAGCUGACAGACCCAUGGCAGCUGCUCCCAGCUGUACUAGCUUCAGUCCAGCCGAGGCGAAUUGUUUUCUCUCAGCUCGAUGAGGAUCUCCUUCCGGUGUUAAGUCCACUGUUGCCAUCCAAGAGGGGCAGCUGCCCGGACCACCCAGUCUCCCAGCAGUUCCGCUGCAACGUGUCCAGACGUGAGCUUGUCCUGUUUGGGAUCUUGCUUCUAUCACCAAUUACAGAACUUCUGAGGCUGCAGACCAAAGAGCCAGGACAGCCCAGUGGUGGAGGUGACCCCGAGGCUUUUCUUACUGCCUCUCUGUGGCCAGGUGCCAUGGAAUGUGGAGAGGCUCCCAGACCCGCACAGGGGCCUGGCCGCCACCCCCAGGGAGAGCUGUGGCAACUGCUGGCCCUCCCCUCGUCCUGCGAGAGAGUGCCCCUCAGGCUUGCACCACCCAUCUGGGAGAGGAACAGCCGAGAAUGCCGGGUGCUGGUCACGGCCGUGACAGGCAGAGCCCCAGUCAGCAGCUCUGAGGAAGGAGCUUGACCCCUUGGAAGAGAAGGGAGAGUCUCUGUUUCUGUGGAGAGAGUGUGGUGGAUGCUCACUAUUUACAAUGGGUUCUUACAGCAACUUCAAAACAAGGAUUCUAUCAGGAUGGAACUUUCCCAUCCACCCUAACAGGUUGGUCUUCACUUUUUAAGCUGAAGUAGUUCUGGAAGAAAAGGCCACAAUGUGAGUCACUGGAGAAGAGAGGCACUUACCAAUCACAGCGUCACCUCUGAAGGGCAUUUUGGAAAGGGACAAGUUUUCUAUUAAAAUGCACACUAGGAAGAAAAAGGACGAACACAAUGUCACUUCCCCGUAAAUGCCCAUCACAGCACCUACCCUGCUGCACCUGAGCCCAGAGCUGCAACACCACCACCCCCCCACAUCCCCCACCCUAUGCCUUGGUGCUGGUGUCCGGAAGCAAGCCCUCAGAAUGGCCUCAGCCCCAGACCUGGCCCAGGCUCAGGGGCAGCUCCAAGACCCGCAAGGAGCAGCAUCAAGCGGGUGCCCUCAGGGAGCCCCACCCAGUCGAGGGAGUGCUAUAUGGAGGCUGCAGGUUUGACCCCCAUACGAAUCCCCAAUGAUGACUCAAUGCAGAGGACUUGGCUGCUGGGCCAUCAACACCCACAGGUUACCAGGAGCUGUGGCUGAACUGCAGGCACCUGCCCAGUGAGGACCACAGAGAAGCAGGUUCUCCUGGGGCACAGGGGCUCCAAAGACAAAGGAGAUGCCCCAGUCUCAGGUCAGCACCAGGGUCAGGACGGGGUCAGAGGAGGUAACAUUUAUCAUCCCCAUAGGGUGGUCCCCAGAUGAGCUGCGGUACUCAAAGCUCUGGUAAAUUCCCCACCGCUGUGAAUAAUGUAGUGUCCGUGUUUAUAACUGAACUACCACUUCUGUGGGUGGGAACAUGGCCAGUAUAGCUACUGACUGGCCAUGACUGCAAGGAUGCCUGAGCUUCCAUCUGGCAGCCUCACUGUGAUGGUCCCGCCACCAAGGGGGCUCCACCAUGGGGACUACUGCAAUGACCUGACCUGCCCGACGCACCACCCGGCACCCGCCGACACCUGCUGACAGGCCAUGUGCCCCAGCCCGUGUGACCGCACAACUCCUCACGCUGCCCACUCACGACACAACAAGAGGGCGGCCUCUGCACUCCCACCUUUGUCACUAAAGUAGAAACAGCAUAGUGGUUUCUUCCUACUGAGUAAUUUGCAUUUGCUGAAAAAAAUCUAACACUACAGAAAAAUAAAAUCGAAAACUACCAUUGACAUUGUGGGGGCCAUGCAUUUUGGGGGUGCCCCCAUGGACCCUCACAGGCCGAGAGGGCACAGGCACACCUCCCUGUCGGCUCUGUGCCCCCACUCCUUCUCUGUCACCGAGCUCCCACCUGACCGAGACUAAGCUGAGCUGGAGCAUGGCUCCUGCACCUCCCUCCAUGCUCAGAAGGUCACAGGCCACCGACACCCCACAUGGCCAGGCUGGGCUGGGUGACGCUGCAGCAACAAAGCCUCAAGCUCAGCGUCCGUGGCAACAAAGGCUCCCCCGCUCAUGCUGUACAUCUGUCACGCAUCAACAGGGGUGCCUGUCACUGUCACCCAGGGACCCCAGGGACAGGUGGCGGCCGUCAUCUGAAAUGCUGCUAGGCUCGUGAGGAAGCCAGCUCUGCAGAGUCUGCGUGAGCAUGGAAGGCUCCCGACAGAGUGACACCAUCCCUCCUCCUCACAGCUCCUGACUCACACUACCUGUGUCCACAAACGUGGCCCUACCCAGCACGAGGGGGCCCGGGGGCCAGAGGCGGAAGGUUCCAGCAGAAUCAGGACGGACACAGGCCCUCGCACACGGCUCCUGCCGCCAAACUGCUCUUUUUCUCUAACAACAUAACCAACCGCUGGAGAGCCCACGCUCUUUAGUAGACAGGUAACAUCCCACACUAUGGCUGUGAAACAAUUUAUUCAGUAUUUCCUGACGGGCUAAGCUCUCCUUCCGGUUUUCAUCACUUCAAACAAGGUGGCCACACACAUCCCUGUCGGCACACAGACUGCCUGUCUGCCCAUCAGGUUGCCCAUCACCCUUACACGUUUUUUGGGUGCAGAGUCCCAGGAGUGGCCCUGCAGGGCAGAAGACUGCACAUUUCUAAUCAUAAGAGACACCGCCCACAGCAGCCUGAAAAGACUGUAACAAGGCACACUCCAGAGCAAGGACCCCGUCGGCAGCAGGGCCACCAAGCCCUGACAUAGCCAACGUGAUCCGAGGAGACACUUCCACCUCGUGGAGCUAAUCAGCAUCUCCCCAGUGACCAGACGAGCCUGGGCACCCAUCACCAACUCAGAGCCCAUCUGGGUCUACGCUCAGGUGAAGUGUCCACUUACCUGCAUGGCCCAAUUCUCAGCUGGAUUGCUUAUCUUCUAUUGGCAAUUUUAAAAGUCUUUGCAGCCUAUAAAUAACAACUUCACCUUUCAACUGCUGUACCUCUAAAUCUAUGUUUUGUCUACUAAUUUUAUACAUGGUCUAU